AACGUAGGUGGCGAGCGUUAUCCGGAUUUACUGGGCGUAAAGCGUGUGCAGGCGGGGAUACAAGUGGUGUAUGAAAUUUCCCGGCUUAACCGGGAAGGGUUAUGCCAGACUGUAUUUCUGGAGUGCGAGAGAGGGGCGUGGAAUUCCGGGUGUAGUGGUGAAAUGCGUAGAGAUCAGGAAGAACAUCGGUGGCGAAGGCGCUCUGCUGGACCAUAACUGACACUCAGGGACGAAAGCUAGGGGAGCGAAUGGG
rnacentral:rRNA from 1 species